UACGAAGGGGGCUAGCGUUGUUCGGAAUUACUGGGCGUAAAGCGCACGUAGGCGGACAUUUAAGUUGGAGGUGAAAGCCUUGGGCUCAACCCAAGAAUUGCCUUUGAUACUGGAUGUCUCGAGACCGGGAGAGGUGAGUGGAAUUCCGAGUGUAGAGGUGAAAUUCGUAGAUAUUCGGAAGAACACCAGUGGCGAAGGCGGCUCACUGGCCCGGUUCUGACGCUGAGGUGCGAAAGCGUGGGGAGCAAACAGGG
rnacentral:rRNA from 1 species